rnacentral:rRNA from 1 species
AUGGGCUCCGCCACGGGCGCCGAAGCGCCGGUGCGCCUGCACGGCGACCUGGAGGUGUGGAUCGCGGAGGCCAGGCGGCUGCCCAACAUGGACAUCACGUCGGAGCGGAUGCGGAGCUGCUUCACCGCCUGCGUCAGCGGGGAGGGCGGGUCCAGGAGCGGCGGCAGCACCACCCACAAGAAGAAGAAGAAGCGGCUCAUCACCAGCGCCAGCUACGCCUACGUGUCCCUCUGCCUGGCGGGCGCCACGGUGGCGCAGACCCGGGUGAUCCCCAACUCCGGCGGGCCCCGGUGGGACGAGCGCUUCCGCGUCGAGGUCGCGCACGCCGCCGCCACCCUCGACCUCCACGUCAAGGACAACCACGUCUUCGGCGCCCGCCUCAUCGGCGUCGCCUCCGUGCCCGCCCGCCGCCUCGCCGCCGGGUCCCUCGUCCACGGCUGGUUCCCCAUCAUCCACCACGGUCACCACCAUCACCAUCACCACCACAGCCCGGCCGCCGAGCUGCGCUUCUCCCUGCGCUACACCCCUGCCCAGCUGCAGCACGACAGCAGCCCGCUGUGCGCCGGCGUGCCCAACGCCUACUUCCCGCUCCGGCGGGGCGGCCGCGUCACGCUCUACCAGGACGCGCACGUCGCCGACGGGCAGCUGCCUGACAUCGAGCUCGACGGCGGCGCGACGUACACGCACGGCCGGUGCUGGGAGGACAUCUCCCGCGCCGUCGUCGACGCGCACCACCUCGUCUACGUCGUCGGCUGGUCCAUCCACCACCCCGUCCGGCUCGUCAGGGAGCCCGCCGCCGGCGCCGGCACUGGCACCGCCAUGAAGACGCUCGGGGAGCUCCUCAAGGGCAAGGUCCACGAGGGCGUCCGCGUGGUCAUGCUCAUCUGGGACGACAAGACCUCGCACGACAGGUUCCUCCUCAAAACGGACGGCGUGAUGCACACCCACGACGAGGAGAGCAGGAAGUUCUUCAGGCACUCGGGCGUCCACUGCGUGCUGGUUCCCCGCUACGGCAGCAACAAGCUCAGCAUCUUCAAGCAGCACGUUGUGGGGACUCUGUUUACGCACCAUCAGAAAUGCGUGAUCGUCGAUUCGCAGGCCGCGGGAAACAACCGCAACAUCACCGCAUUCCUCGGCGGUCUGGACCUGUGUGACGGCAGAUAUGAUACGCCUGAGCAUAGGCUUUUCAAUGACCUUGACACUGUUUUUCACAAGGAUUUUCAUAAUCCUACCUUCCCUGUUAAUUCUUAUGGACCCAGACAACCCUGGCAUGACUUGCACUGCAAAGUCGAGGGUCCUGCCGCCUAUGACAUAUUGACAAACUUCGAACAACGAUGGCGUAAAGCCACGAAAUGGAGGGUCAACCUUAAAAAGGUUGUUAUUUGGCAUUACGACACAUUGAUCAAGAUUAAACGGAUGCCCUGGAUCGUUUCACCUUCUACCGAUGAGGCGAAUGCGCGUGUUUGUCACGAACAGGACACAGAAAACUGGCAUGUACAGGUUUUCAGGUCAAUUGACUCAGGAUCUGUCAAGGGGUUUCCUAAACUUGUCCAAGAGGCACAGUCACAGAAUCUAGUUUGUGCCAAGAAUCUAAAAAUUGACAGGAGCAUACACAGUGCAUACGUGAAAGCCAUCAGGUCUGCACAACACUUCAUAUACAUCGAGAACCAGUACUUCAUUGGGUCUUCAUUCUGCUGGCAUUCACACAAAAAUACAGGUGCAGACAAUUUAAUACCCGUCGAGCUGGCCUUGAAGAUUGCGAGCAAGAUCAAAGCGAAGCAGCGAUUUGCGGUCUACAUUGUUAUCCCAAUGUGGCCUGAAGGCAUCCCAACCACAGCAGCAGUGCAGCCAAUCCUCUUUUGGCAGGGGCAAACCAUGUCUAUGAUGUACAAGAUCAUAGCGGACGCUCUCGAGAGCCAGGGUCUCGUCGACUCCCAUCCUCAAGACUAUCUGAACUUCUACUGCCUCGGGAGACGCGAGCUCGCCGCCACUCCAGAGGCGAGCUUAUGCAACGACAACUCUGCUCUGGGCAUGGCGCAGAAGCACCGGCGGUUCAUGAUCUACGUGCACUCCAAAGGAAUGGUGGUGGACGACGAGUACGUGGUGAUCGGGUCGGCCAACAUAAACCAGAGGUCCAUGGAAGGGUCCAGGGACACGGAGAUCGCCAUGGGCGCGUACCAGCCGCACCACACCUCGGCCGGAAACCGCGGCGGCCCUCCUCGCGGACAGGUGUACGGGUACAGGAUGUCGCUGUGGGCGGAGCACCUGGGCGGCAGGGCGGAGGAGUGGUUCCGGCGGCCCGAGUCGGAGGAGUGCGUACGGCGGGUGAACGCGGCGGCGGAGGAGAACUGGCGGGCGUACGUGUCGCCGGACGAGGCGACGAGGGGCCACCUGAUGCGGUACCCCGUGAAGGUGGACAGGGACGGCGGCAUCGGGCCACUGCCGGGCCACGAGUGCUUCCCGGACGUCGGCGGCAAGGUCCUCGGCGCGCAGUCAUCUCUGCCCGAUGCUCUCACCACGUAA